UACGGGGGGGGCGAGCGUUGUUCGGAAUCACGGGGCGUAAAGGGCGCGUAGGCGGCCCGCACAAGUCUGCGGUGAAAACCCCCGGCUUAACCGGGGGCCGGCCGUGGAAACUGUCGGGCUGGAGGCUGGGAGAGGGCAGCGGAAUUCCCGGUGUAGCGGUGAAAUGCGCAGAGAUCGGGAGGAACACCCGUAGCGAAGGCGGCACUCUGGGCCGGUACUGACGCUGAGGAGCGAAAGCGUGGGGAGCAAACAGG
rnacentral:rRNA from 1 species